CCUCCUUUCCCCCACGCCUCUUUCUCUCAAAUCUCCCUUCUCUCUCGCCUCUGCCGGAAACGUCUGCCACCGCCGGCACCGAUCAGCCGCCGGCCAUCUCUCCCUUCUUCCCUUCUCUCCUUCUUUCCUCUCUUCUCACUCUCUCUUUCGGUCUCCCUCUCCGCCAGCACCGCCGCCGGCUGGAAACUGCCGCUGCUGUCGUCGGGCUGCCGCCGCCGCUGCGCCGGCCGCCGUCGCCGUCGUCGCUCGGGAGAAAUUAAGAGGGGUUGAAAAGGAGCCAAGAAGUGUCGUUGUUUGCCGGAUUUCGCCACCACCGCCGGAUGCUGUCGCCGCCGCCGACCCGGCGCUGCCUCUGUUGCUGACAGAGGACAGAAACUCCAGCCAGGUCCAAACCAUUGAAGGGGAAACAGAUAAACACAUUUCUGUUAGGAGAAAGCAUAGAGACAGCGUUGAGCCACUUUUUUUAUGCUAGCCUAUAUGCGCAAGGUCAAAUGAGCCCUUUAUGCUAACCAGGCCACUUUUCACAUUCACAACGAGUUUAUGAGUUUUCUAGAGAAUCGGUCCACCUAGAGCUCAAAUGCAUUUCCAAUUUCCCCCCCCCCCGGCUUCGUCAGGAAUAAGUGGUAGCGUUUACUCAUCUAGCCUUGUUAGCAUUGGAAUGGGUGCUAUGCCCUAAACACCGGAAAUUGGCUCUGACGAUAUAGAACCUGUUGGAUCCCAGAUUCCUUCUAGUUCCUUCAUCUCACAUUUCAAUUGGCGAUGGUCCACAAACUCCUGAAAACGACAUCAUUCCUUCAUUCUCUCUUGCUUUGGCUAGCUACUGAUGGAACCUUCCAGUUAUGCAAAAGAAACUGGAAAUGCUGCAUAUCCUACUAAUGCAACUCUGUCUUCCUAGCAUCUUGGGACUAAUGUCUGUGAGCCAUUUAUGUACCAUACUAUCUCAGAGAAGUAUACAAUGGAAUGGAGGGUAGCGUAUUACUGCUCCUAGCCAAUUUUGGCCACUUUGAUAUUAAGUGUCUCUCAGUUCAUACUAAAGCCGUCAAUGAAGAACUACUGCAAAAUCUGUCUGAUGCUCUUCGCUUGUCGGUACCUGAUAAAAUUGGAGUUGAUCUUGCUUUGUCUAAAACUGACGAUCACGAUAUCAGGAUGUGUGGAAAGAAUUUUUCUUUGAGUCAGAUUAAAGAGCUGUGUGCCUAUCUAUUGCAUUUGAGGCGACUGAGAUGAUUCAAAAUAUGCUCGUGUUACACUUAGUUGAUCUAACGGCCUCUCUAAGCAUUCAGAUUCAUUCUUGCAAAUGUUAGCUCUUGUGCAACUAAGGUGCUUUCCGUGAUAGUUCCUCGUGCAAAAAUAAACUAGAAUUUCUUAGUCAAUCUGAAGGCCAAGGCCCAACUACGUGGAGAUCACUUCUUCAGGUGGAAGAGCAAGAUCUGGGGACGGCGGCCCGGUGGGGGCAAGUCGUAUGGCGGUAGGGGGAGACUUAGUUCUUAACUUAUAAGAAGCCGGGGGAAAUGGCUCUUCCCAAGUACUUCCUAGAUAUGUUUCUUUUUUACUUUGGCAUUCGGUUUGCUGUACCUGCAUUAAAAAAGAAAUCAUGGGCCUUGGAAGCUGGAUGAGCACUCAAUUAGUGUCUAGUAAAGAUGCUUUGUAUGAGGAAUAGAUCAAGUUUCUGAAGGAUGUUCAGGACCUCUCUCCUAGUCACAUUCAAUCUUUGGGUUCACUUUUGAAUAUCUUUCUGGUUGUGUGUAAGGCUGCGUAGCAAGUAGAACUCAGUCCCGUGUUGAGAGCACUACUUCAGCGUUGAUAAGUUCUAGAGAUAUCCCCUGUUCUUCUUCAGCGAGGGACUAACCCCGGAGUUGUCCAGGUUCUCGCUUCCUGUAUAGGGGUGUGAUCCUGGCACCACCCCUUACUUGCUUUCUACCCAAACAAGAAUCACUAACAGAGUUGACACCGAUGAAUGGAAUCCAUCCACUGAUACACAUCUUCCUUGAUUGAUAACCGCUCUGCAAAUGUUGUGAUGCACUCAAAAUUUUAAAUAUCAUUUCCAGCUUUUUUGUUUGUCUACGACAGUUAGAUCAUCUAUCGAGGGACCGAAUUUGCUUUAGAUUGCAAACUUGAGUUUGCUCAUACUGCUCAUCGAAAUUCUGCUGCUGUUCAUUCCUGGUUGAGUGUAAGUCUGCGUAGCAAGUAGAAGUCAUUCCUGUGUUGAGAGCGCUACUUCAGUGUUGAUAAGUUCUAGAGUAUCCCCUGAUCUUCAACAGUGAGGUGUUAUAGCUGUAACCAUUACUCGUAGGAUUUUUAUGCUAGAGCACUUUGAGCACAAACUUUUGCAGGAACUAACCCGGAGUUGCCCUGGUUCUCACUUCCGGUAUAGGGGUGUGAUCCUGACACCACCCCUUAAUUGCUUUCUACUCAAACAAGUAAGUAUUCUAUCCUCUUUACAUUUUUUGUCCUUCACAUUGAGGGUAAUGUUUAGAAUAGUUUUGAGGUGUGGGUGUCUGCUUGCAUUCUUCUUUUUGGGGUUGUAAUUUAUCCUAUUUGUGUGUAUAUGUAAGGUUUUCUCUCUAUUAAUUGUCACCAGAAACACUUUUUAAUGGUUUAUUAGUGUAGACUUAGUUUCUCUCAAGGGUUGGAGAACUAAGAUUCCCUAAUUUAAAACACCUUACUUACUUAUAUUUUAAUAUGUGAAAAUGAAUUUGUGCUGCUGAACAGGACAUGCUGCUGAACAAGGCCAAGUACAUAUAUUUUCUAUGGUCGCUUGAAAUUUUCUCUGUGGUGAACGUGGAGUCUGUAGAUGUUUUUUUCCGUUGAAUGGGAUUUACUUUUUAAAUCAAUAAUACUAGCAAAUAACUGAUAUAAAAACAUUGGUAAAGGCUUGUGUUAAUUUAGUCCAUUGAGCAUGGGUUUGGAAUUCAUAUUGUUUGUAUUUUGUCCUUGUUGCCUUUUUUAACCUUGUUUACAUGCAGUCCAAACCAGUGAUGGGGAAUAGAUCAACAACUUUCUAUUAGGAGAUAGCAUAGAGACAGUGUUGUGCCACUUUUUUGAUGCUAGCAUUUAUGUGCAAGGUCAAGUGAGCCUUUUGUCCUAAGCUAGGCCACCUGUCACAUUCACAAAACGAGUUUAUGAGGUGAUUCCGGACAAAGUCUAGGACAUCUAAGUUGAUUCAGGAAAGAAUCGAUCCAUCCAGAGCUCAAAUGCAUUUCCAGUUUGCCCCUCUGCUUCGUCAGUGGGUGGAUUUUCCUGGAAAUUUGCAUCUCUACUUCUGACCAAAUGAGUGUUAGCACUGGAAUUGGUGCUAUUCCCCACACACCUGAAAUUGGCUCUGACGAGAUGGAUCCUGUUGGAUCCCAGAUUCGUACAAGCUACUGAUGGACACUAAUACAAAUCUGUCUUCCGAGCAUCCCGGGACAAAUGUCUCUGCGCCAUUUAUAACCUUUGGUGAUGCAUUGCACAUGAUAAUAUUUCCGAUGAUGACUAUAUAAUUUCAAAAGCUGGGCUCGGUCUAGAAGUGGGAAUGAUGUCAAUCCUACAUGAUAAUGAAGCACAAGUCUGAAUAGCAGCUGCCGAAAAGGAGUUAAGGAGGAGCUAACUUGUAAAGGAGGCAUGAUGAGGGAAGAAAUACCUAACUUCCCAUGCAAACAAGAGAGUAUUUUGUUUCCCCUCACAUUUUUUUUCCUUCACAUAAAGGGCAAUGUUAAGAUUAAGAUUUGGGGUGAGGGUGUUUGUGUACAUGCUUGAUUAUGUGGUUGUAAAUAAUUUUAUUACUCUAUCUCCGAUGUGUUGAUUCUGAAGGACCCUUUUUCUGAAGUGUAUAUAACGAUGCGAAUACUAAAGAAGUUAUGUGUUUUAAAUAGCAGGACUAUGCCAUGGAGCCCGAUGAGAAACUUAUGCGAAAUGCAGCACAUUAGAUGAUAGCAAGGAACCUUUACGUGGUUCAGUAUCAAGCCAACUCAGAAGGUCACUUCAGGGCUUGGCCAUAGCAAAGGAUCUUCUGGAGCAGUCAUUUUAGCGGGUGACUAAUGGAAUCACAUGCAGCGAUGAUACCGAUGAAUGGAAUCCAUCCACUGAUACACAUCUUCCUCGAUCGAUAGCCGCUCUGGAAAUGUUGAGUGCAAGGCUGCGCUGCAAGCAGAACUCGGUCCGUUGUUGAGAGCGCUAUUUCAGUAUUGAUCAUGUUCCAGAGAUGUCCCCUGAUCUUCAACAAUGAGUUGUUAUAGUUGUAACCACUAAACGUUCUCGCUUCUGUUAUAGGGGUGUGAUCCUGGCGCCAUCCCUUACUUGCUUUCUUACUCAAACAAUCCAACCCAUUUAUGGGAAAAUAGAUCGAUUACUUUCUAUUAGAAGAAAGCAUAGAGACAGUGUUGUGCCACUUUUUUUAAUGCUAGCCUUUAUGCUGGAGGUCAAACGGAAGCCCUUUAUCCAAAGCCAAGGCACAUGUCACAUUCACAACGAGUUUAUGAGAAUCGAUCCACCCAGAGCUUCAAAUGCAUUUCCAGUUCGCCCCUCGGCUUCAUCAGGAGCUGGAUUAUCCAGGCAAUUUGCAUCACCACUUCUGACCAAAUGAGUGCUAGCAUUUACUCAUCUGGCCUUGUUAGCACUUGAAUUGGUGCUAUGCCCCAUACACCGGAAAUCGGCUCUGACAAGAUAGAACCUGUUGGAUCCCAAAAACUAAUACAAAUCUGUCUUCCGAGCAUCCCGGGACAAAUGUCUCUGCGCCAUUUAUAACCUUUGGUGAUGCAUUGCACAUGUAACAUACUAUCUCAGAGAAGAUAUAUAUACUAUGCGCCUUAACUCUUAAAUAUCAAUUCCUUAAAUCUCGUGCCCAAAAAAUUGCCUCGCUCAUGGUUGGACGGAGUGAGUACAAAAUAACAAACUAUAGCUAUAUAUUUAUUUUACUAUUAUCUUAGUUGGUAAUUGGUAUCCUCCAAUAUGUUGAUGUCAACUUAUUAUGUUGUUUUCCUUUUUUAAGACAUGGUGGAUUAAGCAUAAAACUUUUACUGACUUUUCCAACUCUUAAUUUGAUCAUGCGUUUUACCUAGACUUCAAUUGUAGAAUCCACAUCCAACAAGGUAUGAAUGUUAUUUAUUGAGCUAAUUACAUGUGUAAAGCUACAUUGCUUUGCAUCAUGGACAUUAGAUUGCUAUGUAGGUAAAUUACUGCUUCUAUACUGUUUGCAAAGAACCGAGCUUAAGCAGAUUGUUCUUGAGUUGCUCAAAUUAUGCACUGAUUCUCAGGAUAAUAUUUCCGAUGAUGACUAUAUAAUUUCAAAAGCUGGGCUCGGUCUAGAAGUGGGAAUGAUGUCAAUCCUACAUGGAGUUAAGGAGGAGCUAACUUGUAAAGGAGGCAUGAUGAGGGAAGAAAUACCUAACUUCCCAUGCAAACAAGAGAGUAUUUUGUUUCCCCUCACAUUUUUUUUCCUUCACAUAAAGGGCAAUGUUAAGAUUAAGAUUUGGGGUGAGGGUGUUUGUGUACAUGCUUGAUUAUGUGGUUGUAAAUAAUUUUAUUACUCUAUCUCCGAUGUGUUGAUUCUGAAGGACCCUUUUUCUGAAGUGUAUAUAACGAUGCGAAUACUAAAGAAGUUAUGUGUUUUAAAUAGCAGGACUAUGCCAUGGAGCCCGAUGAGAAACUUAUGCGAAAUGCAGCACAUUAGAUGAUAGCAAGGAACCUUUACGUGGUUCAGUAUCAAGCCAACUCAGAAGGUCACUUCAGGGCUUGGCCAUAGCAAAGGAUCUUCUGGAGCAGUCAUUUUAGCGGGUGACUAAUGGAAUCACAUGCAGCGAUGAUACCGAUGAAUGGAAUCCAUCCACUGAUACACAUCUUCCUCGAUCGAUAGCCGCUCUGGAAAUGUUGAGUGCAAGGCUGCGCUGCAAGCAGAACUCGGUCCGUUGUUGAGAGCGCUAUUUCAGUAUUGAUCAUGUUCCAGAGAUGUCCCCUGAUCUUCAACAAUGAGUUGUUAUAGUUGUAACCACUAAACGUUCUCGCUUCUGUUAUAGGGGUGUGAUCCUGGCGCCAUCCCUUACUUGCUUUCUUACUCAAACAAUCCAACCCAUUUAUGGGAAAAUAGAUCGAUUACUUUCUAUUAGAAGAAAGCAUAGAGACAGUGUUGUGCCACUUUUUUUAAUGCUAGCCUUUAUGCUGGAGGUCAAACGGAAGCCCUUUAUCCAAAGCCAAGGCACAUGUCACAUUCACAACGAGUUUAUGAGAAUCGAUCCACCCAGAGCUUCAAAUGCAUUUCCAGUUCGCCCCUCGGCUUCAUCAGGAGCUGGAUUAUCCAGGCAAUUUGCAUCACCACUUCUGACCAAAUGAGUGCUAGCAUUUACUCAUCUGGCCUUGUUAGCACUUGAAUUGGUGCUAUGCCCCAUACACCGGAAAUCGGCUCUGACAAGAUAGAACCUGUUGGAUCCCAAAAACUAAAAGGAAUCAAAUUAGUAAAAUUCCGGUGAUCAUUUUUCAGUUCGCUCAUCUCAUAUUUCAAUUGGCGAUGGUCCACAAACUCUUGAGUUUGGGAGUGGCUAAUUUAUAAAGGAAUCAAGAUGAGAGAAGAAAUACCUAACCCCAUCACCUAACUUCCCAUGCAAACAAGGGAGUAUUUUGUUUACCAUGCAAAUAAUUAGAUUACUCUAUCUCGUUGAUUCUGAAGGACCCUUUUUUCCAUAGUAUAUAUAACAAUGCAAAGGCUAAAGAAGUUAUAUGUUUUUAAAUGGCAGGUCUAUGCCACGGAGCCUGUUGAGAAACUUAUACGAAAUGCAACACAUUUGUAGUGGCAAGGUUGAAAGGAAGUCAUGCUAAUGUAACUUGAAGGUUGAGUGUAAGGCUGCGUAACAAGCAGAACUCGGCCCCGUGAUGUGAGCUUUACUUCAGUGUUGAUCAAGUUCUUGAGAUGUCCCCUUUCAACAGUGAGGUACUUACCCUGGAGUUGCCCUGGUUCUCGGUUCCGGUAUAGGGGUGUGAUCCUAGCACCACUGCUUAUUUGCUUUCUACGCAAAAAAAUAAGAGUUAUUGAGGAGCCAACUUUUUAGGAGACACGAUGAGAAAAGGAAUUGCUUAACCCCCACCACCUAAUUUCCUAUGCAGACAAUGGAGUAUUCUGUCUCGCCUCACAUUUUAUUGUUCAUCACAUAAAGGGAAAUGUUUAGAUUCA